CAGCAGCCGCGGUAAUACAGAGGGUGCAAGCGUUAAUCGGAAUUACUGGGCGUAAAGCGCACGUAGGCGGUUUUUUAAGUCAGAUGUGAAAGCCCCGGGCUCAACCUGGGAACUGCAUUUGAAACUGGAAAACUAGAGUGUGUGAGAGGGGGGUAGAAUUCCAAGUGUAGCGGUGAAAUGCGUAGAGAUUUGGAGGAAUACCAGUGGCGAAGGCGGCCCCCUGGCACAACACUGACGCUCAGGUGCGAAAGCGUGGGGAGCAAACAGGAUUAGAUACCCUGGUAGUCCACGCCGUAAACGAUGUCUACUAGCUGUUCGUGGUCUUGUAUUGUGAGUAGCGCAGCUAACGCACUAAGUAGACCGCCUGGGGAGUACGGUCGCAAGAUUAAAACUCAAAUGAAUUGACGGGGGCCCGCACAAGCGGUGGAGCAUGUGGUUUAAUUCGACGCAACGCGAAGAACCUUACCUACUCUUGACAUCUAGCGAAGAUUGUAGAGAUACGAUUGUGCCUUCGGGAACGCUAAGACAGGUGCUGCAUGGCUGUCGUCAGCUCGUGUUGUGAAAUGUUGAGUUAAGUCCCGUAACGAGCGCAACCCUUAUCCUUUGUUGC
rnacentral:rRNA from 1 species